AGCCCAAUAGCGGCCGGCGCAGCGCAGCCGCGGGGCAGCGCGCAGGGCACGGCGAGCUCAGCUCCUCCUCCCGGCCAUCUGACGUUCGAACUGAACUCACAUUCUCGACCACUGACUUCUAACACAGCUGGGUGGGAUGCUCCCAGCCUCCGGCACUGCCCAGGACCACUGCCCUGCCAGAGCUGAGCCAGCGCCAAGUGGGGCAAGAGGAGCUGGGAGACCUGAGUCCUGGGGAGGAGCUGCAGAAGGAAACUGCAGCACAGAGCAUUUGUCAUACAGAAAUAAAUGCAAAAACAAAAUCUGCAUCCCUGAUCCCUUUUUCCUCUAAAAGCUGGUAACUGACUUUGCAGACUGUAUUAUAUAUGUUUACAUUUCUAUAAAAGCAAGUGCUCCUUGGAGGAGCAGCUUAGGUAAUUCACAUUUGCAUCAUGUGUAGCUAUGAUAAAUAAUAAAUAUGUAGCUGAUAAAUGG